UACGUAGGGGACAAGCGUUGUCCGGAUUUACUGGGCGUAAAGAGCGCGCAGGCGGUCGUUCAAGUCGGGUGUGAAAGCCCCCGGCUCAACUGGGGAGGGUCAUUCGAUACUGAUCGACUCGAAGGCAGGAGAGGGAAGUGGAAUUCCCGGUGUAGUGGUGAAAUGCGUAGAUAUCGGGAGGAACACCAGUGGCGAAGGCGACUACCUGGCCUGUUCUUGACGCUGAGGCGCGAAAGCUAGGGGAGCAAACGGG
rnacentral:rRNA from 1 species